rnacentral:rRNA from 1 species
AGAGUUUGAUCCUGGCUCAGGAUGAACGCUAGCUACAGGCUUAACACAUGCAAGUCGAGGGGAAACGAUAUUGGAAGCUUGCUUCCGAUAGGCGUCGACCGGCGCACGGGUGAGUAACGCGUAUCCAACCUGCCCACCACUUGGGGAUAACCUUGCGAAAGUAAGACUAAUACCCAAUGAUAUCUCUAGAAGACAUCUGAAAGAGAAUUAAAGAUUUAUCGGUGAUGGAUGGGGAUGCGUCUGAUUAGCUUGUUGGCGGGGUAACGCCACCAAGGCGACGAUCAGUAGGGGUUCUGAGAGGAAGGUCCCCCANAUUGGAACUGAGACACGGUCCAAACUCCUACGGGAGCA